UUGCUGGGUGGAUCAGUGGCGAACGGGUGAGUAACACGUGAGCAACCUGCCCUGGACUCUGGGAUAAGCGCUGGAAACGGCGUCUAAUACUGGAUAUGAGCUCUCAUCGCAUGGUGGGGGUUGGAAAGAUUUUUUGGUCUGGGAUGGGCUCGCGGCCUAUCAGCUUGUUGGUGAGGUAAUGGCUCACCAAGGCGUCGACGGGUAGCCGGCCUGAGAGGGUGACCGGCCACACUGGGACUGAGACACGGCCCAGACUCCUACGGGAGGCAGCAGUGGGGAAUAUUGCACAAUGGGCGGAAGCCUGAUGCAGCAACGCCGCGUGAGGGAUGACGGCCUUCGGGUUGUAAACCUCUUUUAGCAGGGAAGAAGCGAGAGUGACGGUACCUGCAGAAAAAGCGCCGGCUAACUACGUGCCAGCAGCCGCGGUAAUACGUAGGGCGCAAGCGUUAUCCGGAAUUAUUGGGCGUAAAGAGCUCGUAGGCGGUUUGUCGCGUCUGCUGUGAAAUCCCGAGGCUCAACCUCGGGCCUGCAGUGGGUACGGGCAGACUAGAGUGCGGUAGGGGAGAUUGGAAUUCCUGGUGUAGCGGUGGAAUGCGCAGAUAUCAGGAGGAACACCGAUGGCGAAGGCAGAUCUCUGGGCCGUAACUGACGCUGAGGAGCGAAAGGGUGGGGAGCAAACAGGCUUAGAUACCCUGGUAGUCCACCCCGUAAACGUUGGGAACUAGUUGUGGGGACCAUUCCACGGUUUCCGUGACGCAGCUAACGCAUUAAGUUCCCCGCCUGGGGAGUACGGCCGCAAGGCUAAAACUCAAAGGAAUUGACGGGGACCCGCACAAGCGGCGGAGCAUGCGGAUUAAUUCGAUGCAACGCGAAGAACCUUACCAAGGCUUGACAUACACCAGAACACCGUAGAAAUACGGGACUCUUUGGACACUGGUGAACAGGUGGUGCAUGGUUGUCGUCAGCUCGUGUCGUGAGAUGUUGGGUUAAGUCCCGCAACGAGCGCAACCCUCGUUCUAUGUUGCCAGCACGUAAUGGUGGGAACUCAUGGGAUACUGCCGGGGUCAACUCGGAGGAAGGUGGGGAUGACGUCAAAUCAUCAUGCCCCUUAUGUCUUGGGCUUCACGCAUGCUACAAUGGCCGGUACAAAGGGCUGCAAUACCGUGAGGUGGAGCGAAUCCCAAAAAGCCGGUCCCAGUUCGGAUUGAGGUCUGCAACUCGACCUCAUGAAGUCGGAGUCGCUAGUAAUCGCAGAUCAGCAACGCUGCGGUGAAUACGUUCCCGGGUCUUGUA
rnacentral:rRNA from 1 species